GACAGAGGGUGCAAACGUUGUUCGGAAUUACUGGGCGUAAAGCGCGUGUAGGUGGCAAGGUAAGUCGGGUGUGAAAGCCCUGGGCUCAACCCAGGAAGUGCACUCGAUACUACCUCGCUAGAGUCCCGGAGAGGUUGGUGGAACUCUCGGUGUAGAGGUGAAAUUCGUAGAUAUCGAGAAGAACACCGGUGGCGAAGGCGGCCAACUGGACGGUGACUGACACUGAGACGCGAAAGCGUGGGGAGCAAACAGGG
rnacentral:rRNA from 1 species